ACGGAGGGUGCAAGCGUUAUCCGGAUUUACUGGGUUUAAAGGGUGCGUAGGUGGGUAAGUAAGUCAGUGGUGAAAUCUCCGAGCUUAACUCGGAAACUGCCAUUGAUACUAUUUAUCUUGAAUAUCCUGGAGGUGAGCGGAAUAUGUCAUGUAGCGGUGAAAUGCUUAGAUAUGACAUAGAACACCAAUUGCGAAGGCAGCUCACUACGGGAUUAUUGACACUGAGGCACGAAAGCGUGGGGAUCAAACAGGAUUAGAUACCCUGGUAGUCCACGCCCUAAACGAUGGAUACUCGACAUCAGCGAUACACUGUUGGUGUCUGAGCGAAAGCAUUAAGUAUCCCACCUGGGAAGUACGAUCGCAAGAUUG
rnacentral:rRNA from 1 species